CCUACGGGUGGCAGCAGCAAGGAAUCUUCCGCAAUGGGCGCAAGCCUGACGGAGCAACGCCGCGUGCGGGAUGAGGCGCUUCGGCGUGUAAACCGCUUUUCCCGGGGAAGAAGGUGGUGCGUAAGCAUCACUUGACGGUACCCGGGGAAUCAGGACCGGCUAACUACGUGCCAGCAGCCGCGGUAAUACGUAGGGUCCGAGCGUUGUCCGGAGUUACUGGGCGUAAAGCGCACGCAGGCGGCGGCCUAAGCCCGGCGUGAAAGCCCCCGGCUCAACCGGGGAGGGUCGUCGGGGACUGGGUCGCUUGAGGCCAGCAGGGGGUGGUGGAAUGCCCGGUGUAGUGGUGAAAUGCGUAGAGAUCGGGCGGAACACCCGUGGCGAAGGCGGCCACCUGGGCUGGACCUGACGCUGAGGUGCGAAGGCGUGGGGAGCGAACGGGA
rnacentral:rRNA from 1 species